rnacentral:rRNA from 1 species
UACGUAGGUGGCAAGCGUUGUUCGGAAUUAUUGGGCGUAAAGAGCUCGUAGGCGGUCUGUCACGUCUGCUGUGAAAACUCGGGGCUUAACCCCGGGCCUGCAGUGGGUACGGGCAGACUAGAGUGCGGUAGGGGAGACUGGAAUUCCUGGUGUAGCGGUGAAAUGCGCAGAUAUCAGGAGGAACACCGAUGGCGAAGGCAGUGUUCUGGGCCAGUACUGACGCUGAGGAGCGAAAGCGUGGGGAGCAAACAGG